GCCCAGGGAGAGAAGGGCUGCGUGCCCCCGGCGUUAUCCUGGCCUAGCGCAGGGGCCCGCGGGCCGUUGGUGUCGGUGUGAGAGACGGCGGGAGAGAGGAGGGGCCCCAACAGCUGAGAGGAUGUAAACAGAUGGUCACGUGACUCCGCUUCGAACGGCCGGUCCCCCCUCCGCACCACGGGGCGGCUUAAAAGGGGGAGGAGAGGGAGCUGGACUGAAGGAUUAACAUAGUUCUACAAGUUGCCAUGCUGUUACUUCUGUAACUGAUGCCUUCUUGCACGAGAGAAAUGGAGGUGGACAUGGGCAUUCAGUUAGGAAGAUCAUUCUGCUGCCUUCUCUAAGAUCUGACAAGAAGCUUCAGCAUUCAGGUCUAGUAAAAAAUUCUACUCAAGCAUGUAUGAUUCUCUGAAUCUCUUAACUUGUGUUGUCCAUUGUCAAACUAGAAGUAAGAUUCAUGUUUUCUGUUGCAGUAUGUAAAUUCUGCUUCUUGAUGUGAAAGAUAUUUGCUGUCACAGUAUUUUAGAGAUAUGCAUAAUGUGGAUAACCCUUUUUUUAGUGUAAGUUAAUAUUCUUAAAAAAUUUAUUUCAGCCUAAGUAUUACAUGACAGCUCUGUAUAAAAUACUUGAGUUCAAACCCAUGUGCAGCACUACUUAGUUGAAGUACAGUGAACAUCAUUUCACCCUUAGAAAACAAUGGAUUGCCUAGGCCAGCAUGCUCCCAAAACUUCAUUAUUCUGUGAAAGUUUGGGAGUUUUUUUACUGAUUUAAGCAUUAUUUAUUCUUUUGAUACUUUGUCCUGAUAACUCUUCUUUUUCAUGAUCAUGCAAAUAAAGAAAGGCUGAACUAGAUUAAAGACUCCA
rnacentral:lncRNA from 14 species